rnacentral:rRNA from 1 species
GACGAACGCUGGCGGCGUGCUUAACACAUGCAAGUCGAACGGAAAGGCCCUGCUUGCAGGGUACUCGAGUGGCGAACGGGUGAGUAACACGUGAGUGAUCUGCCCUGCACUUCGGGAUAAGCCUGGGAAACUGGGUCUAAUACCGGAUAGGAGCCAUUUUUAGCGUGAUGGUUGGAAAGUUUUUUCGGUGUAGGAUGAGCUCGCGGCCUAUCAGCUUGUUGGUGGGGUAAUGGCCUACCAAGGCGGCGACGGGUAGCCGGCCUGAGAGGGUGGACGGCCACAUUGGGACUGAGAUGCGGCCCAGACUCCUACGGGAGGCAGCAGUGGGGAAUAUUGCACAAUGGGCGCCGGCCUGAUGCAGCGACGCCGCGUGGGGGAUGACGGCCUUCGGGUUGUAAACUCCUUUCGCUAGGGACGAAGCUUUUUGUGACGGUACCUAGAUAAGAAGCACCGGCUAACUACGUG